GCGCACGGGUGCGUAACGCGUAUGCAACCUGCCUUAUACAGGGGAAUAGCCCAUGGAAACGUGGAUUAAAGUCCCAUAGAAUCAAGAUAUCGCAUGGUAUUAUGAUUAAAACUGAGGUGGUAUAAGAUGGGCAUGCGUCUGAUUAGCUAGUUGGUAAGGUAACGGCUUACCAAGGCUACGAUGUCUAGGGGUUCUGAGAGGAUGAUCCCCCACACUGGUACUGAGACACGGACCAGACUCCUACGGGAGGCAGCAGUGAGGAAUAUUGGUCAAUGGGCGCAAGCCUGAACCAGCCAUCCCGCGUGCAGGAUGACGGCCCUAUGGGUUGUAAACUGCUUUUAUACACCAAGAAAAACUACCACGUGUGGGUGCCCGACGGUAGUGUAUGAAUAAGCAUCGGCUAACUCCGUGCCAGCAGCCGCGGUAAUACGGAGGAUGCGAGCGUUAUCCGGAUUUACUGGGUUUAAAGGGUGCGUAGGCGGAUUGAUAAGUCAGUGGUGAAAGCCUGCAGCUUAACUGCAGAACUGCCAUUGAUACUGUAUAGCUGGAAUAUGGUUGCUGUGAGUGGAAUGUGUGGUGUAGCGGUGAAAUGCAUAGAGAUCACACAGAAUAUCGAUUGCGAAGGCAACUCACAAAGCCAUUAUUGACGCUGAGGCACGAAAGCGUGGGGAUCAAACAGGAUUAGAUACCCUGGUAGUCCACGCCGUAAACUAUGAUUACUAGUUGUUGGCGAUACAUUGCCAGUGACUGAGCGAAAGCAUUAAGUAAUCCACCUGGGGAGUACGUUCGCAAGGUUGAAACUCAAAGGAAUUGACGGGGGCCCGCACAAGCGGAGGAACAUGUGGUUUAAUUCGAUGAUACGCGAGGAACCUUACCCGGGCUCGAACGGUGCAGGAAUAUGUCAGAGAUGUCAUAGCUAGCAAUAGUCUGUAUCGAGGUGCUGCAUGGUUGUCGUCAGCUCGUGCCGUGAGGUGUCGGGUUAAGUCCCAUAACGAGCGCAACCCUUAUCGUUAGUUGCCAGCGGGUCAAGCCGGGGACUCUAGCGAGACUGCCACCGUAAGGUGAGAGGAAGGUGGGGAUGACGUCAAAUCAGCACGGCCCUUAUGUCCAGGGCUACACACGUGUUACAAUGGCCGAUACAAAGGGCAGCUACCAGGUGACUGGAUGCGAAUCUUUAAAAUCGGUCUCAGUUCGGAUCGGAGUCUGCAACUCGACUCCGUGAAGUCGGAUUCGCUAGUAAUCGCGCAUCAGCCAUGGUGCGGUGAAUACGUUCCCGGGCCUUGUACACACCGCCCGUCAAGCCAUGGAAGUUGGGGGUGCCUAAAGUUCGUGACCGCAAGGAGCGCCCUAGGGUA
rnacentral:rRNA from 1 species